rnacentral:lncRNA from 1 species
UGAGGUUAUUUAUUGAUGUGUAAAAACAAGCUGGGCGUGAGGCCAAAGUGCUUGCACCAGUGCCGCUACCAUGAGAGAAGACGAACGUUUUGGAUACUUUAAGCAGAGGAGGAGUCAGAGAAGCAGGAAUACUCCCUGUCUGUCCCCUGGCAAUUACAGAAUGUAUGCCAGAAGCUCCUUCUUCAAAGAUAUAUCUACACAAAAAUUCUCAGGUUGCUGGCAUCUGAAAAGGGAAGCAGAAACUGAAUACCUGCAUGUGCAUUUUUACAGAGCUGGAGACCUGAAGCAUGCAGUCUUGGAUUGCUUGAAGCCAACAGAAAAAAAAAUCUGCUAACAGCUUUGAGACAAGGAAGACAGUCACCUUCCGGCGUGCAUCAGCUAGCAGAGACCGUGGGGAUCCGGACGCUGAGGGCUCUGCAUCACCGUCUGCGCAGCACAGCUUUGCUCUUAGCUCAGGAAGUGUGAAUUAGCACUCAAGUUUCAUAGAGUUUAAAGGGUUUGAAGCUGCAGCAAAGUCAGGAUUUCUAUAUGAAAUAUGUAGUAGAGCAGAUAGCUAAGCAGGAACAUCCACAGCUUUAAAAAGCUGCACCUCUAGAGGUGGAAAAUUAAAAGUGAAAUCCUCUUCAAAGUGAUAAAUGCACUGAAGCCUGUAUUAAACAACCUCUCAAGGGCCUGCCAGAAAAAAAAAAGAAAAAAAAAAAAAAAAAAAGGGUCUCUUGAGGGAGGGAGGUCGAUCUGCUGCUGCAUGUUAUUAAAUGCUGCAGUUGCCUUCCCUGUUGCUUUAAGUUUAAAGUUUCAGUGAUGUCUUGAUCUGCUGAUCAGAGUUUGGAUGAUGUGUUAGCUGUGAACAACUGCAAAGGAACAUUUUUCAGACAGCGUUUCGAAUGGGCAGCUGUGCGGUCCAAAAAUAGAAAAACAGCAUUCUUUGGUUGUCUUAAGUCUUUCAAUAAAUCGACAUAGCUAUUGCCCA